rnacentral:rRNA from 1 species
CUACGUGCCAGCAGCCGCGGUAAUACGGAAGGUCCAGGCGUUAUCCGGAUUUAUUGGGUUUAAAGGGAGCGUAGGCUGGAGAUUAAGUGUGUUGUGAAAUGUAGACGCUCAACGUCUGACUUGCAGCGCAUACUGGUUUCCUUGAGUACGCACAACGUUGGCGGAAUUCGUCGUGUAGCGGUGAAAUGCUUAGAUAUGACGAAGAACUCCGAUUGCGAAGGCAGCUGACGGGAGCGCAACUGACGCUGAAGCUCGAAGGUGCGGGUAUCGAACAGGAUUAGAUACCCUGGUAGUCCGCACAGUAAACGAUGGAUGCCCGCUGUUGGUACCUGGUAUCAGCGGCUAAGCGAAAGCAUUAAGCAUCCCACCUGGGGAGUACGCCGGCAACGGUGAAACUCAAAGGAAUUGACGGGGGCCCGCACAAGCGGAGGAACAUGUGGUUUAAUUCGAUGAUACGCGAGGAACCUUACCCGGGCUUGAAUUGCAGAGGAAGGAUUUAGAGAUA